GGGUAAUGGCCUACCAAGGCUACGAUGGGUAGCUGGUCUGAGAGGAUGAUCAGCCACACUGGAACUGAAACACGGCCCAGACUCCUACGGGAGGCAGCAGUGGGGAAUAUUGCGCAAUGGGGGAAACCCUGACGCAGCGACGCCGUGUGAGGGAUGAAGGCUUUCGGGUCGUAAACCUCUGUCGGGAGGGAAGAACCUUCUAAGUCCUAAUAAGGCUUUGAACUGACGGUACCUCCAAAGGAAGCACCGGCUAACUCCGUGCCAGCAGCCGCGGUAAUACAGGAGGGUGCAAGCGUUAAUCGGAAUCACUGGGCGUAAAGCGCGCGUAGGCGGUCUUUUAAGUCGGACGUGAAAGCCCUCGGCUCAACCGGGGAACUGCGUUCGAAACUGGGAGACUUGAGUCCUGGAGAGGGUGGCUGAAUUCCGGGUGUAGGAGUGAAGUCCGUAGAUAUCCGGAGGAACACCGGUGGCGAAGGCGGCCACCUGGACAGGUACUGACGCUGAGGCGCGAAAGCGUGGAGAGCAAACAGGAUUAGAUACCCUGGUAGUCCACGCUGUAAACGAUGGACACUAGAU
rnacentral:rRNA from 1 species